rnacentral:rRNA from 1 species
CACGUAGGGGGCAAGCGUUGUCCGGAUUUAUUGGGCGUAAAGCGCUCGCAGGUGGUCCGUCGCGUCGUGCGUGAAAGACCCCGGCUCAACUGGGGGAUGUCGUGCGAUACGGGCGGACUGGAGGCCAGUAGGGGGAUGCGGAAUUCCGGGUGUAGUGGUGGAAUGCGUAGAGAUCCGGAGGAACACCAGCGGCGAAGGCGGCAUCCUGGACUGGUCCUGACACUCGGGAGCGAAAGCGUGGGGAGCGAACCGG